UUACAGGAAGCAGUACGCCGUCUUCACAACUCGGAGACAAAUUGCAGGCGCUACGAACCGGAGCAAGGACUAAUCUCGCCUCAUAAUGAGGCGGUGACCUCCUAUUUGCUCGGAGCAAUAUCUGGAAGUCCAGAUUUACACGAUGUUGAUAAAGACGACAUUGUGUCCGCCUGUAAGACAUAUUACGAGACGGUACGCAGGAGCUUUAGAUACAUGUAUACCCAGCCAGAAAACUCAUUGCGGGCGGAAGCUGCGAAGACUUCAGCUCAGGAGUCGAGCGAGAAGAAAGAGGCUGCUGGAAUCGAGACAGAGUGUGCUAGCAGAUGACGAGGUGGAACUCUGGAAGUCCGCCACCGUAGACCUCAUGUCUGACGAAGAAGAUGGCGUUGUUGGCGGGGUCUCUGGAUGGAUUGUACGGUCGCCGUCAUUUCGUAGGCCAGACCUCUCUGAACUCUGUGCGAAGCUGCAGUCCCGGUUAGAGGCGACGCCGAAGUACAGAGCCACGCACAAUAGGCGUCUGCAUAACGGACCUGCCUCGGAAAGAACGCCGCCAGUUACCUACAACCCCGAGGAGGCAAACGGACAGUUCACGGAGUUGUAGUUUUUGGAUCAUCCUCUACCCAUGUGUGGGCAGAUCCUCGCUUUGUAUAUAGUUGUGUUUGUUUUAAUAAAGCUCGCUCUUUGCA